rnacentral:rRNA from 1 species
AACGAACGCUGGCGGCAUGCCUAACACAUGCAAGUCGAACGAGACCUUCGGGUCUAGUGGCGCACGGGUGCGUAACGCGUGGGAACCUGCCCUUAGGUUCGGAAUAACUCCCCGAAAGGGGUGCUAAUACCGGAUAAUGUCUUCGGACCAAAGAUUUAUCGCAUUUGGAUGGGCCCGCGUUGGAUUAGCUAGUUGGUAGGGUAAAAGCCUACCAAGGCGACGAUUCAUAGCUGGUCUGAGAGGAUGAUCAGCCACACUGGGACUGAGACACGGCCCAGACUCCUACGGGAGGCAGCAGUGGGGAAUAUUGGACAAUGGGCGAAAGCCUGAUCCAGCAAUGCCGCGUGAGUGAUGAAGGCCUUAGGGUUGUAAAGCGCUUUUACCCGGGAUGAUAAUGACAGUACCGGGAGAAUAAGCUCCGGCUAACUCCGUG